rnacentral:lncRNA from 1 species
GUUAUGAAAGGCGCUCGCUACAGCGCUUUUAGCGCGUAGCGAGGCGAUGCGAAGGGCUGACGCAACAGGAGCAGUGUGGCGAGGCGAUCCUGGUUAGCGCUCGCAACAGCCUGUGUUGCGAGAAGCGAGGUGAGGCGAGAGGCGCAGGGAGGCGACGCUAUUUUGACAGUGCUGGCUAAUUAAAACACAUCAGCAGCUUUAGUGCUUUACAAAUUACAAAAACACAAAAACUAGGGUUUUCACUCUACAAAGGAAAAGCAGUCGACCAGCAAAAAACACAGCAGCAGCCAGCAAAUCAUCUUCAUCUUGCUUCUUCUCCAGGUAUGUUCAUCUUCUUUCUUCUUUCUUCUUUCUUCCUUCUUCCUUCUUCCUUCUUCUCUCUUUCUUUUUUCUUCUUUUUCCCUUCUUCUUCCAGUGGACCAGUCGACAAUUUUUUUUUUCAGUCAAAAAACAGAGCCCUCUGUUUUUUUCGACCAGUACCAGUGAACAGUAAAAAAUAUUCACUCCAGUCCCACUGUUUUUUUUUUCCAUACCUGUGAACAGUAAAAAAGAGUCAGUCAUGCUGUUAAAUUACUACCUGGAAGCUCUCAAUCUCGUUUUUGGGUCCAGCAUGCUGUUAUACAUUUGGAAACGUAAAAGCCAUUCACGUUUUUUAAAGCUCAAAUGCAACAGUGAGCUUCUUGAGACAAGGAUCAUUUGUCUUGGGAAAUACCAGUCAAAAUUGGUAUUACCAAUUGAAUUAAAUAUGCCUUGUUUCUUGGCCUGAAGGAGCCACUUUAUGAGCAGAAGUUGCACGUCCAGUUGCUUAAAUUAACCUGCACAGACAAAACAACAAAAAAUUAAUCCGCAAUUCUGCUGAGUUGCUUAAAUUUAUUUGAUUUAUUGCUCUAUUUUUCUAUAAAACAACGCUGAAAAUUGAGUNNN